UAGGGAAUCUUCGGCAAUGGACGAAAGUCUGACCGAGCAACGCCGCGUGAGUGAAGAAGGUUUUCGGAUCGUAAAACUCUGUUGUUAGAGAAGAACAAGGACGUUAGUAACUGAACGUCCCCUGACGGUAUCUAACCAGAAAGCCACGGCUAACUACGUGCCAGCAGCCGCGGUAAUACGUAGGUGGCAAGCGUUGUCCGGAUUUAUUGGGCGUAAAGCGAGCGCAGGCGGUUUCUUAAGUCUGAUGUGAAAGCCCCCGGCUCAACCGGGGAGGGUCAUUGGAAACUGGGAGACUUGAGUGCAGAAGAGGAGAGUGGAAUUCCAUGUGUAGCGGUGAAAUGCGUAGAUAUAUGGAGGAACACCAGUGGCGAAGUCGGCUCUCUAGUCUGUAACUGUCGCUGAGGCUAGAAAGCGUGGGGAGCAAACAGG
rnacentral:rRNA from 1 species